rnacentral:rRNA from 1 species
UACGAAGGGGGCUAGCGUUGUUCGGAUUUACUGGGCGUAAAGCGCACGUAGGCGGAUCUUUAAGUCAGAGGUGAAAAUCCCAAGGCUCAACCUUGGAACUGCCUUUGAUACUGGGGAUCUCGAGUUCGGGAGAGGUGAGUGGAACUGCGAGUGUAGAGGUGAAAUUCGUAGAUAUUCGCAAGAACACCAGUGGCGAAGGCGGCUCACUGGCCCGAUACUGACGCUGAGGUGCGAAAGCGUGGGGAGCAAACAGG